rnacentral:tRNA from 1 species
GUUUUUUUAGCCGAGUGGUUAUGGCGUGUGCCUUCUAAGUACAUGCGUUUUCCAAACGCGAGUCCAACUCUCUCAAGCAACG